rnacentral:rRNA from 1 species
AUUGAACGCUGGCGGCAUGCCUUACACAUGCAAGUCGAACGGUAACGCGGGGGCAACCCUGGCGACGAGUGGCGAACGGGUGAGUAAUACAUCGGAACGUACCCAGUAGUGGGGGAUAGCUCGGCGAAAGCCGGAUUAAUACCGCAUACGACCUAUGGGUGAAAGGCGGGGGAUCGCAAGACCUCGCGCUAUUGGAGCGGCCGAUGUCGGAUUAGCUAGUUGGUGAGGUAAAGGCNCACCAAGGCUACGAUCCGUAGCUGGUCUGAGAGGACGACCAGCCACACUGGGACUGAGACACGGCCCAGACUCCUACGGGAGGCAGCAGUGGGGAAUUUUGGACAAUGGGCGCAAGCCUGAUCCAGCCAUGCCGCGUGUGUGAAGAAGGCCU